UGAGGAACAUGACCUUCGGCGGGGGAUAGCCGGCCCAACGGCCGGGUAAUACCGCGUACGACCACAUGGGGACAUCCCUGAGUGGUGAAAGCAGCAAUGCGCCGAUGAAGUGCCUCGCGGCCUAUCAGCUAGUUGGUGAGGUAACGGCUCACCAAGGCGACGACGGGUAGCUGGUCUGAGAGGAUGGCCAGCCACAUUGGGACUGAGACACCGGCCCAGACCUNUACGGGGAGG
rnacentral:rRNA from 1 species